rnacentral:rRNA from 1 species
AUCCUCCAAGGCUAAAUACUCCUGAUUGACCGAUAGUGAACCAGUACCGUGAGGGAAAGGCGAAAAGAACCCCGGCGAGGGGAGUGAAAAAGAACCUGAAACCGUGUACGUACAAGCAGUAGGAGCCCCAUCACUCAAGUGCCUCGCACUGAGUGAUGCAAGAACAUCACCGAAAAUAGCGCCGAAUUUGCUAACAAGGUUGGUCGAUUUUUUCAAGCCGUCGCGCAGUGUACCUAGAAGUACACGAGCAACGGAAGUUAAAAAAUCGGGCAAGAUUGAACGCAAAGGCAAGCGGGACAUUUGAGGAUGGGGUGACUGCGUACCUUUUGUAUAAUGGGUCAGCGACUUAUAUUCUGUAGCAAGGUUAACCGUAUAGGGGAGCCGUAGGGAAACCGAGUCUUAACUGGGCGAAUGAGUUGCAGGGUAUAGACCCGAAACCCGGUGAUCUAUCCAUGGGCAGGUUGAAGGUUGGGUAACACUAACUGGAG